GUGAGAGCAACAAAGGGAAGCUUAACUGCUGAGGCAAACGUGGUUAUAACAGUGAACAGAAAUGUGUUUGGACCAACAUUUACCCAGAAUGAUUAUACAUCAACAAGAUCAGAGAAUACACGAUUGGGAACUUCUAUUGUACAACUAGUAGCUACAGAUAACAAUACACAGGAUGUUCUGCUUUAUAGUGUUGAAACAGCAAAUACAGAUUCUGAUUUCUUCUAUGUUUCGCCAAGCACCGGUACAGUAUUUUUGAAAAGACUGCUCACAGAAACAACUAGCAACACUCUGAGGUUCCGAGUUAAAGUUUCGGAUCAGUCUGUACCGGAAAGAGUAGCAACAUCCCAAGUAACCGUGAUUGUGACUCGUGGUUCUCAGUCCCCUGUGUUUAUCAAUACUCCAUACAGUCAAAGCAUUAAUUUUGACACAAUAGCAAACUCUGUAAUUUAUAGCA